rnacentral:rRNA from 1 species
GAUGAACGCUGGCGGCGUGCCUAAUACAUGCAAGUCGAGCGAACGGACGAGAAGCUUGCUUCUCUGAUGUUAGCGGCGGACGGGUGAGUCACACGUGGAUAACCUACCUAUAAGACUGGGAUAACUUCGGGAAACCGGAGCUAAUACCGGAUAAUAUUUCGAACCGCAUGGUUCAAAAGUGAAAGACGGUCUUGCUGUCACUUAUAGAUGGAUCCGCGCUGCAUUAGCUAGUUGGUAAGGUAACGGCUUACCAAGGCAACGAUGCAUAGCCGACCUGAGAGGGUGAUCGGCCACACUGGAACUGAGACACGGUCCAGACUCCUACGGGAGGCAGCAGUAGGGAAUCUUCCGCAAUGGGCGAAAGCCUGACGGAGCAACGCCGCGUGAGUGAUGAAGGUCUUCGGAUCGUAAAACUCUGUUAUUAGGGAAGAACAUAUGUGUAAGUAACUGUGCACAUCUUGACGGUACCUAAUCAGAAAGCCACGGCUAACUACGUGCCAGCAGCCGCGGUAAUACGUAGGUGGCAAGCGUUAUCCGGGAUUAUUGGGCGUAAAGCGCGCGUAGGCGGUUUUUUAAGUCUAAUGUGAAAGCCCACGGCUCAACCGUGGAGGGUCAUUGGAAACUGGAAAACUUGAGUGCAGAAGAGGAAAGUGGAAUUCCAUGUGUAGCGGUGAAAUGCGCAGAGAUAUGGAGGAACACCAGUGGCGAAGGCGACUUUCUGGUCUGUAACUGACGCUGAUGUGCGAAAGCGUGGGGAUCAAACAGGAUUAGAUACCCUGGUAGUCCACGCCGUAAACGAUGAGUGCUAAGUGUUAGGGGGUUUCCGCCCCUUAGUGCUGCAGCUAACGCAUUAAGCACUCCGCCUGGGGAGCACGACCGCAAGGUUGAAACUCAAAGGAAUUGACGGGGACCCGCACAAGCGGUGGAGCAUGUGGUUUAAUUCGAAGCAACGCGAAGAACCUUACCAAAUCUUGACAUCCUUUGACAACUCUAGAGAUAGAGCCUUCCCCUUCGGGGGACAAAGUGACAGGUGGUGCAUGGUUGUCGUCAGCUCGUGUCGUGAGAUGUUGGGUUAAGUCCCGCAACGAGCGCAACCCUUAAGCUUAGUUGCCAUCAUUAAGUUGGGCACUCUAAGUUGACUGCCGGUGACAAACCGGAGGAAGGUGGGGAUGACGUCAAAUCAUCAUGCCCCUUAUGAUUUGGGCUACACACGUGCUACAAUGGACAAUACAAAGGGCAGCGAAACCGCGAGGUCAAGCAAAUCCCAUAAAGUUGUUCUCAGUUCGGAUUGUAGUCUGCAACUCGACUACAUGAAGCUGGAAUCGCUAGUAAUCGUAGAUCAGCAUGCUACGGUGAAUACGUUCCCGGGUCU